rnacentral:rRNA from 1 species
GACGAACGCUGGCGGCGUGCUUAACACAUGCAAGUCGAACGGAAAUGCCCUGCUUUUGUGGGGUGCUCGAGUGGCGAACGGGUUAGUAACACGUGAGUAACCUGCCCUUUACUUUGGGAUAACUUCAGGAAACUGGGGCUAAUACCGGAUAGGAGCUCCUGCUGCAUGGUUGGGGUUGGAAAGUUUCGGCGGUUGGGGAUGGACUCGCGGAUUAUCAGCUUGUUGGUGGGGUAGUGGCUUACCAAGGCUUUGACGGGUAGCCGGCCUGAGAGGGUGACCGGCCACAUUGGGACUGAGAUACGGCACAGACUCCUACGGGAGGCAGCAGUGGGGAAUAUUGCACAAUGGGCGGAAGCCUGAUGCAGCAACGCCGCGUGCGGGAUGACGGCCUUAGGGUUGUAAACCGCUUUCGCCUGUGACGAAGCGUGAGUGACGGUAAUGGGUAAAGAAGCACCGGCUAACUACGU